GACGAACGCUGGCGGCGUGCCUAAUACAUGCAAGUAGAACGCACAGUUUAUACCGUAGCUUGCUACACCAUAGACUGUGAGUUGCGAACGGGUGAGUAACGCGUAGGUAACCUGCCUGGUAGCGGGGGAUAACUAUUGGAAACGAUAGCUAAUACCGCAUAAUAUUGAUUAUUGCAUGAUAAUUAAUUGAAAGGUGCAAUUGCACCACUACCAGAUGGACUUGCGUUGUAUUAGCUAGUAGGUGAGGUAACGGCGCACCUAGGCGACGAUACAUAGCCGACCUGAGAGGGUGCUCGGCCACCCUGGGACUGGGACACGGCCCAGACUCCUACGGGAGGCAGCAGUAGGGAAUCUUCGGCAAUGGACGGAAGUCUGACCGAGCAACGCCGCGUGAGUGAAGAAGGUUUUCGGAUCGUAAAGCUCUGUUGUAAGAGAAGAACGGGUGUGAGAGUGGAAAGUUCACACUGUGACGGUAACUUACCAGAAAGGGACGGCUAACUACGUG
rnacentral:rRNA from 1 species